UACGGAGGGCGCGAGCGUUGCUCGGAAUCACUGGGCGUAAAGAGCACGUAGGCGGGUGCGUAAGUCGAUUGUGAAAGCCCCGGGCUUAACCUGGGAAUUGCAGUCGAUACUGCGCGUCUUGAGUACUCGAGAGGAUGGCGGAAUUCCUGGUGUAGUAGUGAAAUACGUAGAUAUCUGGAGGAACACCGGUGGCGAAGGCGGCAUCCUGGACCGAUACUGACGCUGAGGAGCGAAAGCCAGGGGAGCGAACGGG
rnacentral:rRNA from 1 species